UGGGGAAUAUUGCACAAUGGGCGCAAGCCUGAUGCAGCGACGCCGCGUGCGGGAUGGAGGCCUUCGGGUUGUAAACCGCUUUUGUUCAAGGGCAAAGCACGGUCUUUGGCCGUGUUGAGUGGAUUGUUCGAAUAAGCACCGGCUAACUACGUGCC
rnacentral:rRNA from 1 species